GACGAACGCUGGCGGCGUGCUUAACACAUGCAAGUCGAACGGAAAGGCCCUGCUUGCAGGGUACUCGAGUGGCGAACGGGUGAGUAACACGUGGGUGAUCUGCCCUGCACUUCGGGAUAAGCCUGGGAAACUGGGUCUAAUACCGGAUAGGAGCCAUUUUUCGUGUGAUGGUUGGAAAGUUUUUUCGGUGUAGGAUGAGCUCGCGGCCUAUCAGCUUGUUGGUGGGGUAAUGGCCUACCAAGGCGGCGACGGGUAGCCGGCCUGAGAGGGUGGACGGCCACAUUGGGACUGGGAUACGGCCCAGACUCCUACGGGAGGCAGGAGGGGGGAAUAUUGCAAAAUGGGCGCAAGCCUGAUGCAGCGACGCCGCGUGGGGGAUGACGGCCUUCGGGUUGGAAACUCCUUUCGCUAGGGACGAAGCUUUUUGUGACGGUACCUAGAUAAGAAGCACCGGCUAACUACGUG
rnacentral:rRNA from 1 species